UCACUGUCAGUAUUAAGGCCCAGCAGC
rnacentral:piRNA from 1 species